rnacentral:rRNA from 1 species
CCUACGGGGGGCUGCAGUAAGGAAUAUUGGACAAUGGGCGCAAGCCUGAUCCAGCCAUGCCGCGUGAAGGAUUAAGGCCCUAUGGGUUGUAAACUUCUUUUAUACGGGACAAAACCCCUCUACGUGUAGAGGGUUGAUGGUACUGUAAGAAUAAGCAUCGGCUAACUUCGUGCCAGCAGCCGCGGUAAUACGAAGGAUGCAAGCGUUAUCCGGAAUUAUUGGGUUUAAAGGGUGCGUAGGCGGACCUAUAAGUCAGUGGUGAAAGCCCCAAGCUCAACUUGGGAACUGCCAUUGAUACUGUUGGUCUUGAGUACAGUUGAGGUAGGCGGAAUGUGUCAUGUAGCGGUGAAAUGCUUAGAUAUGACACAGAACACCGAUUGCGAAGGCAGCUUGCUAAGCUGUAACUGACGCUGAUGCACGAAAGCGUGGGUAGCAAACAGGCUUAGAUACCCCAGUAGUC